CCUACGGGUGGCAGCAGUGGGGAAUAUUGGUCAAUGGGCGCAAGCCUGACCCAGCAACGCCGCGUGAAGGAAUAAGGCUUUCGGGUUGUAAACUUCUUUUUUCAGGGAAGAGUAGAAGACGGUACCUGACGAAUAAGCCACGGCUAACUACGGGCCAGCAGCCGCGGUAAGACGUAGGUGGCAAGCGUUGUCCGGAUUUACUGGGUGUAAAGGGCGUUUAGGCGGGUUGAGAAGUCAGAUGUGAACUCCUGCGGCUUAACCGCAGAACUGCAUUUGAAACUGGUGAUCUUGAGUACUGGAGAGGAAGAUGGAAUGCCUGGUGUAGCGGUGAAAUGCGUAGAUAUUAGGAGGAAC
rnacentral:rRNA from 1 species